GCCCCAGUAGCUUAGAUCGGUUAGAGCGAGCUCAUCUGAGAGUCUCUUGCGCUACUAUGAGGAAGUCGCGAGUUCAAAUCUCGCCUGGGGCUCCA
rnacentral:tRNA from 1 species